CGAACGGCAGCACAGGGAGCUUGCUCCCGGGUGGCGAGUGGCGCACGGGUGAGUAAUACAUCGGAACGUGUCCUGUUGUGGGGGAUAACUGCUCGAAAGGGUGGCUAAUACCGCAUGAGACCUGAGGGUGAAAGCGGGGGAUCGCAAGACCUCGCGCAAUUGGAGCGGCCGAUGCCCGAUUAGCUAGUUGGUGAGGUAAAGGCUCACCAAGGCGACGAUCGGUAGCUGGUCUGAGAGGACGACCAGCCACACUGGGACUGAGACACGGCCCAGACUCCUACGGGAGGCAGCAGUGGGGAAUUUUGGACAAUGGGGGCAACCCUGAUCCAGCCAUGCCGCGUGCAGGAUGAAGGCCUUCGGGUUGUAAACUGCUUUUGUCAGGGACGAAAAGGACCGUGUUAAUACCAUGGUCUGCUGACGGUACCUGAAGAAUAAGCACCGGCUAACUACGUGCCAGCAGCCGCGGUAAUACGUAGGGUGCAAGCGUUAAUCGGAAUUACUGGGCGUAAAGCGUGCGCAGGCGGUUCUGUAAGACAGAUGUGAAAUCCCCGGGCUCAACCUGGGAAUUGCAUUUGUGACUGCAGGACUAGAGUUCAUCAGAGGGGGGUGGAAUUCCAAGUGUAGCAGUGAAAUGCGUAGAUAUUUGGAAGAACACCAAUGGCGAAGGCAGCCCCCUGGGAUGCGACUGACGCUCAUGCACGAAAGCGUGAGGAGCAAACAGGAUUAGAUACCCUGGUAGUCCACGCCCUAGACGAUGUCUACUGGUUGUUGGGGUUUUUUAACCUUGGUAA
rnacentral:rRNA from 1 species